ACGCGUAAGAACUUGCCUCACAGACAGGGACAACAUUUGGAAACGGAUGCUAAUACCUGAUAUUAUGAACUGUGCGCAUGCAUAGAUUAUGAAAGCUAAAUGCACUGUGAGAGAGCUUUGCGUCCCAUUAGCUAGUUGGAGAGGUAACGGCUCACCAAGGCGAUGAUGGGUAGCCGGCCUGAGAGGGUGAACGGCCACAAGGGGACUGAGACACGGCCCUUACUCCUACGGGAGGCAGCAGUGGGGAAUAUUGGACAAUGGACCGAGAGUCUGAUCCAGCAAUUCUGUGUGCACGAUGAAGUUUUUCGGAAUGUAAAGUGCUUUCAGUUGGGAAGAAGAAAGUGACGGUACCAACAGAAGAAGCGACGGCUAAAUACGUGCCAGCAGCCGCGGUAAUACGUAUGUCGCAAGCGUUAUCCGGAUUUAUUGGGCGUAAAGCGCGUCUAGGCGGUUUAUUAAGUCUGAUGUGAAAAUGCGGGGCUCAACUCCGUAUUGCGUUGGAAACUGGUAGACUGGAGUACUGGAGAGGUAAGCGGAACUACAAGUGUAGAGGUGAAAUUCGUAGAUAUUUGUAGGAAUGCCGAUGGGGAAGCCAGCUUACUGGACAGAUACUGACGCUGAAGCGCGAAGGCGUGNGUAGCAAACAGGAUUAGAUACCCUGGUAGUCCACGCUGUAAACGAUGAUUACUAGGUGUUGGGGGUCGAACCUCAGCGCCCAAGCAAACGCGAUAAGUAAUCCGCCUGGGGAGUACGUACGCAAGUAUGAAACUCAAAGGAAUUGACGGGGACCCGCACAAGCGGUGGAGCAUGUGGUUUAAUU
rnacentral:rRNA from 1 species